GAUGAACGCUGGCGGCGUGCCUAAUACAUGCAAGUCGAGCGAACAGAUGAGGAGCUUGCUCCUCUGACGUUAGCGGCGGACGGGUGAGUAACACGUGGAUAACCUACCUAUAAGACUGGGAUAACUUCGGGAAACCGGAGCUAAUACCGGAUAAUAUAUUGAACCGCAUGGUUCAAUAGUGAAAGACGGUCUUGCUGUCACUUAUAGAUGGAUCCGCGCCGCAUUAGCUAGUUGGUAAGGUAACGGCUUACCAAGGCAACGAUGCGUAGCCGACCUGAGAGGGUGAUCGGCCAAACUGGAACUGAGACACGGUCCAGACUCCUACGGGAGGCAGCAGUAGGGAAUCUUCCGCAAUGGGCGAAAGCCUGACGGAGCAACGCCGCGUGAGUGAUGAAGGUCUUCGGAUCGUAAAACUCUGUUAUUAGGGAAGAACAAAUGUGUAAGUAACUAUGCACGUCUUGACGGUACCUAAUCAGAAAGCCACGGCUAACUACGUG
rnacentral:rRNA from 1 species